UAUAAAAAAAUAACAAUAGCACUUUUAUAAUAAAUUUCAAAUAUAUAUAUAUAUGAAUUUUAUUAUAUAAACAUAGUGUUUAUUAAAACCAUUAUCGUGAAGGUUACGUGUUGUGUCAUUCAUUCAAAUUUUGUAAAAAUGUGGUUUUAUUUUUUAUUUGUUAUUCUUACAACAUUUGAUUUUGCGAUGGCUUCAUCGGGUUUUGAUUUUGGAGAUACUGUAGCAUUGAUUCUUGGAUUAAUUAUUGGAAUCAUUGGAUUUUUUGCCUGUAUGGGUACUUAUGCACGUCAUCGAAGUCGUAUGGAAACAAUGACAUAAAAAUAAGUACUCUAAAAUUAAAAAAAUAGCUAUUCAAUGUUUAAAAUUAAAGCAAUAAAUAAUAAACAAAUUCUUUCUGAUAAUGAAAAAUAAUUUUGAAUUACAUUUAUGAUAUAUAACAAGUUAUUUUUAAGUAUUAUAAUAUUAUUGUAAUAUAAUUGUUAAAUAAAUUUUUAUAAAAAUAAUAAUGAUACAUAAAUAUGUAUCAGAACAUUUAUUAAAAAUAUUAUAUUAUAUCAUUAAAAAUAUAUUAUUUUUAAAUUUUUUUUUAAAUUUUUAUAUGUAACAAGUAAUAUAAAUGUAUUUAACAAUGUACACGUAAAAAGAUUGUAAUAUUUUAAAAUGAUUAUAUAUAAUAUAGAAAAAUAUUAUUUAUAGUACAUGCAAUACUAAUUAAAAAAAUUAUGUAUUGUUGUCUACAUAAUAUAUUCAUAAAUUUCACAAAUAUACAAUGUUAAUUAACAUCAUAAACUACAUUUUGAUGUAAUUAUUUUUCAAGUAAGGAAUGGAAGAUAAUAUUCUGAGCACAAUUAUUUAAAUUAUUCCAGUUUGAUUAAUUAAUUAAUUGAUUAAUUGAAAUCGCAAAACAAUAAUUCAUAACAAUAAAAUUUCUAUGUAUCUCUAUUACAACUUCUUUUCAUUAUAUAACGAAAAAUUUUAAUUAAUUUUGUUAUUUUUUGUAAUUUUUUUGAAUGCUGAUGCAUAUCUAAUCAGUCUUUACAAAAUUUCUUAUAGAAUUUCACACAACAUAGCUUACAUAAAUUUUUGAAGCAUGUAUGAACUUAUAUACUAGUUAGCAUAGGAAAGCUCUUUGAUUAUUUUUUCCUAAACAUUUUUCACAUUUUUUAUUACAAGCAAAGUAAUUAAAUAUUAAUAUAAGAUAUUUUAGAAAGUAAUUAAAACUUUAUUUUUUUAAAAAUCUUUUUUUUUGUAUAUUUUAUUUCAAUGAAUUUAAAAUUUUUGUAUAGAAAAAUUUUAAAUAUAAAUAACUUUAACUAAUUGUAUUAUCCAAGAUAAAGACUUUGUUUUUUUUCAUUUGAAGUUUGAUAAAGUAAAAUAUUUUAUUAUACAGUACAACAAACAUCUUUUUUCACAAUUGCAUUUCUAAAAUAUCAAAUGAUAUAUUUAUGUGCUUAAAACAAUAUAUAUGUAAUACAACUUAUAUGUAUGUAUGUGUAUGUGUAUAUAUAUAUAUAUAUAUAUAUAUAUAUACAUACACAUACGUACAUUUAUAUGUUGUAUCUACAAUCAACAAAUUGUUUAUAUAUACUUGCAAUUAAUUAUAUGAAUCUAUUAAAUAAAUUAAAUAAUUUUAAUAAAUUAGUUCAUUAAAUUCUGAUCCAUCAAUAUGUACUAAGAUUUUAUGUGUAAUUUUUUUUAAAUGUAGCAAAAUAUGAUAUACUUGUUUUUUUUUGUCAUAUUUUCUGAAAAAUAUAUAGUAAUACCUAAGUCUGAAUGUACUAAGUUCAAUUCCAUCAAGUUAGAUGCCAUAUUGGUAGAAAAGAAUUAUGAUGAAUUCAUAUUAUUGAUUUUUUCACAUGUAACAGUGCUGUUUGGUAUUCUUUGGUAAAACAAUAAAAAUGUUUUACAAAAAUU